AUUGAACGCUGGCGGCAUGCCUUACACAUGCAAGUCGAACGGCAGCACGGGAGCAAUCCUGGUGGCGAGUGGCGAACGGGUGAGUAAUAUAUCGGAACGUGCCCAGUCGUGGGGGAUAACGCAGCGAAAGCUGUGCUAAUACCGCAUACGAUCUAAGGAUGAAAGCGGGGGAUCGCAAGACCUCGCGCGAUUGGAGCGGCCGAUAUCAGAUUAGCUAGUUGGUGGGGUAAAGGCCGACCAAGGCGACGAUCUGUAGCUGGUCUGAGAGGACGACCAGCCACACUGGAACUGAGACACGGUCCAGACUCCUACGGGAGGCCGCAGUGGGGAAUUUUGGACAAUGGGCGCAAGCCUGAUCCAGCAAUGCCGCGUGCAGGAUGAAGGCCUUCGGGUUGUAAACUGCUUUUGUACGGAACGAAACGGCCCUUUCUAAUACAGGGGGCUAAUGACGGUACCGUAAGAAUAAGCACCGGCUAACUACGUGCCAGCCGCCGCCGUAA
rnacentral:rRNA from 1 species